CUUACCCACACCCCCUACCCUCUCUCCACUCCCCCAACUAUAAAUUCCCUUCUGUAGCAUGCUGCCCUUUUUGUAAUCCACAUUUGUGUUUCAGAUCAUGUAGAAAGGACAGAAAGUGAGCAGGGAGCGGGGGCUUUUGUCUAUUGUUCUCCUUGUGCUAUUUGAGAGGAACUGCAAUCCCAAGACUUAACAGAACCUAAAAAUGCCCAUUACUAGAUGCACACUGGACAAAAGCAUCUCUUGGUCUGGCAUGAGAAAACUCAGACCUGGUUGAUUAUUACCAAGCCUGGUACUGGAACUGGAAUUGGAGUCUCC